AUGCCUAGGGCGUUCAUGACAUUGAUGGCUAUGGCUGCUUCGUGUUCAAGAAAGAUCCCAGCUCCGCUGGGCCAGGCGUAUUCAAUUGGAGGCAGAAUUAAUCAAUGCAACUCCAAGAAGGAUUGCCCGGUGCUGCCGGCUGGCGUCAAGUUCGAUCCCACAGAUCAGGAGCUGAUCGAGCACCUUGAGGCCAAAGUGAGUGCUGAUAGCGCGAGAUCUCACCCUCUCAUCAAUUUGUUCAUACCAACCAUCGACAGCGAGCAGGGCAUAUGCUACACCCAUCCUGAGAAACUUCCAGGUAUCACACUGGGUGGCCUAAGCAAGCAUUUCUUCCAGCACAACUCCAGGGCAUUCAAAAGGGGCACGUGGACGCGUCGCAAGAUACAGUCGGAGUGCGGCAUGCACGCGAUGUGGCACAAGACUGGCAAUACCUUGCCGGUGAUGGUCAAUGGCUGGCAGACAGGCAGCAAAAAGAGGACCAACUGGGUGAUGCACCAGUACCACCUCGGGGACCUGGAGCAAGAGAAGGAGCGGGAGCUGGUCUUCUGCAAGAUUUUCUACCGGACGAACACUAGGGCCAGGACUAAAAAGAUUAUAGGUCGAGCAAGUUUCAACUGGGUUGUAGACUGCCCAGGCUAG
rnacentral:rRNA from 1 species